UACAGAGGGUGCGAGCGUUGUCCGGAAUCACUGGGCGUAAAGGGCGCGUAGGCGGCCUGAUAAGUCGGGGGUGAAAUCCUGUGGCUUAACCACAGGGCUGCCUCCGAGACUGUCGGGCUCGAGCACAGUAGAGGCAGGUGGAAUUCCCGGCGUAGCGGUGGAAUGCGUAGAGAUCGGGAAGAACAUCGGUGGCGAAGGCGGCCUGCUGGGCUGUUGCUGACGCUGAGGCGCGACAGCGUGGGGAGCAAACAGG
rnacentral:rRNA from 1 species